GCCUGGGUGGCUCAGUUGGUUAAGCAUCUGACUUCAGCUCAGGUCAUGAUUUCACGGCUUGUGAGUUUGAGCCCCACUUUGGGCU
rnacentral:tRNA from 1 species